rnacentral:rRNA from 1 species
UACAGAGGUCCCAAGCGUUGUUCGGAUUCACUGGGCGUAAAGGGUGCGCAGGUGGGCUGGCAAGUUCGAUGUGAAAGCCCCGGGCUUAACCCGGGAAUGGCAUUGGAUACUGCUGGUCUGGAGGAUUGGAGGGGGGACUGGAAUUCUUGGUGUAGCAGUGAAAUGCGUAGAUAUCAAGAGGAACACCAGUGGCGAAGGCGAGUCCCUGGACAAUUCCUGACACUGAGGCACGAAAGCCAAGGGAGCAAACAGG